AGGGAAUUUUGCGUUGGCACUUCAGGUCCUAAGAAGAAGCAAGCUGAAUGGGCCCCCUGCCACCCCUGUAUCAGGGAGCAGCCUCCCUGAGAGGCCUUGGCUCCAAGAGCAUUCUGUUGCAUGCUUUGAGACAAUGACAUUCCUCCCUUACAGUUACCAGGCAGACCAGGUGCCAAUUUGUCUCUUGAGAAGAGUUACCUCCUCCUGUUUCCCAGGCGAGCUGGCCAAGGCUGUCUUGAGGCAAAAUGAAGACCGGGUACCUGAGAUGACUUCUUAGGCAUAGAGCAAUACACAGUCCCAAAGGACAGCUGGGAAUGAAGACAUCUCUAGGGGGAGGGCUCAGAACUCAGUCCUCCUGGCCCCACCUCCACUUGUCC
rnacentral:lncRNA from 1 species